rnacentral:lncRNA from 1 species
CACAAAGAAAGGAAGGUUCUCUUGAAGUAGCAAUCAAGGCCAUCAAGGUAAGAGAACGAAAAGUUGGCUUGGAAUCCUAGGAAAGGACCCGUCAGACGGCCUUGAUCCACACCUGUCUCUACUACUGCACAAGCACAUGCUGGACCAGUAAGGGGACAGAGACAGGGGAGCCAAGCCAGUCUCCAUCCUCUGCUAGCUGUAGUUAGCCACUUGCUUAGCUCCUGGCUUCAUUUUUCUCAGUUAUACAACAGAAUUGAACCAGAUGAUCCUUGGAAACUCUCAGUUAGGAUUCCAUAAUUACUGUUAUAAUUUUUCUGCCUGUAUCAGGUGUUAACAAUAUAACUACACAAAUGAAAUUUCCAGGAAAGUAAAUUAAUCUUGACCUUAAAUAUA